rnacentral:rRNA from 1 species
GGCGAACGGGUGAGUAAUGCAUCGGAACGUGCCCAAUCGUGGGGGAUAACGCAGCGAAAGCUGUGCUAAUACCGCAUACGAUCUACGGAUGAAAGCGGGGGACCUUCGGGCCUCGCGCGAAUGGAGCGGCCGAUGUUAGAUUAGGUAGUUGGUGGGGUAAAGGCUCACCAAGCCGACGAUCUAUAGCUGGUCUGAGAGGACGACCAGCCACACUGGAACUGAGACACGGUCCAGACUCCUACGGGAGGCAGCAGUGGGGAAUUUUGGACAAUGGGCGAAAGCCUGAUCCAGCAAUACCGCGUGCAGGAAGAAGGCCUUCGGGUUGUAAACUGCUUUUGUACGGAACGAAAAGGCUCUUUCUAAUAAAGAGGGCUCAUGACGGUACCGUAAGAAUAAGCACCGGCUAACUAUGUGCCAGCAGCCGCGGUAAUACGUAGGGUGCGAGCGUUAAUCGGAAUUACUGGGCGUAAAGCGUGC